rnacentral:rRNA from 1 species
GACAGAGGUGCCGAGCGUUAGGCGGAAUCACUGGGCUUAAAGCGUGUGUAGGCGGACCGUUAAGUACCUUGUGAAAUCCCACGGCUCAACCGUGGAACGGCUGGGUAUACUGGCGGUCUUGGGCCCACUAGGGGUCAUCGGAACAGGCGGUGGAGCGGUGAAAUGCGUAGAUAUCGCCUGGAACGCCGACGGUGAAAACAGAUGACUGGGGGUGUGCCGACGCUGAGACACGAAAGCCAGGGGAGCGAACGGG